ensembl:snoRNA
CCUGCCCCUUGAGGCGUUGCAGGCGUGGCUGUUGUGUCACACCUGCGUCACUAGGCGGCAGAGAGAAUCGAGGCUAUGUCUACGCUCAGUGUUCUGGCCUGUGAACGCUUGAAUGAUUAGUAGCCUGACACUG